CCAGUAUGUGAUGAGCUGUCAUUUGAUGUGUCAUCGUCUCCCAGAUAGUGCAUAAAUUACAGAUGUUGUUUUUUCUCUUCCUGAGCCAUUCCUAAGUUGUAGAAAUCACGUCCCCUGCCCUAAACAUUUCAGUGUUCUCAUUCCUAAAAGCAAGGACAUUCUCUUAUAUAACCACAGUAAUCAACUUCAUGAAACAUAAUAUUGAUUUGAUAGUAUCAGCUAAUCUACAGUCCAUAUUCCAAUUUUGCCAAUUGCCCAGAUGAUGUCCUUUAGAGCAAUUUCUUUCCUGAUCCAAGAUCCAAUCAGGGGCCAUACAUUGCCUUUAGCUGUCACAUUUUUUUAGUCUCUUUUAAUCAAGAACGGUUCCUGGCCUUCCUUUGUCUUGCAUGUCACUGAUAUUUUUUAAAGAAUCCAGACCGGUUCUGUAAAACGUCCCUCAAUUUGAGUCACUCCCUCCAUUUAAAGAGCUUCUCAGUCUUCAGUUUGAAAUUCCAGGACCUCGUUACAGGUCCCGCCCUCUUUCCACUUUCCCCAUCGUUUCCCCCUCCCCAGCACAACCAUUCUCACUCAGAGCCCCUCACCACUCAGGCCAAAACAGCCCUGCGCCUUCUGUCCAUCCCAGCUUGUACCACUAUUUAAAAUGAUCUGCUUUCCUGAUGUGUGUGUUUACUGCCUGGCCCCCACACUAGGGAGGCUCUGAGGAUGACAAAAAUUUUUAUCUGUUUGGUCACUGCUGGAUUCCCAGGGCCAAAGCAGUGCCUGGCAUGCAGGAGCCACUUGGAAAUCAUUGGCUGAGUAAAUGACCAAGCCAGCAGAGAAAGUGCUGCGGUUGAGGGCCAGGGGGCCAGAGGCUCUUCCAGAUUCCAGAGCCUCGCCCAGGCCUCCCUGUGCCUCUGACCAGAGGAGGAAGCACCCAGCAAAUCUCCCUUAUCUUUGGGAUCACAGCACUCCACCAGCCAGCCCACUGAUUAAUCUUUUUAAAUCAAUCCCAGUAGGCUGCCGGGCUGGAUUCCACAGAUAGAGCUGAUGGACACUGGAGAAGGCUGUGGCCCCCUAUUGUCCAGCAGCCAGUCCAAAGUGCAAGGCCUCCCAUCGCCAUCCUUGGCUCCCAGCCGCCGUUCACAGAUCCUCCAGGGGCCUGCUCAGGGUGUGGGGGCCCGGAGAAUCAACAUUCAAGUACGAAAUCCUACUAAUAGCUCUUUAAUUGCAACUGAGGAAGACUGAGUCCCUGCCUCCCAACCCCAGAGCAGAGGCCAGCGGCCUUCCAGAGAAAAGAACCACAUUGCUCGGCCCAGACCCAUGAUACAGAAGACGGCUCCUCCUGGGGGCCCUCAACUCACAGAAACCCUCCUGUCAAUAGCAGCCUGGGUGGGGUCCCAGCACCCCACCCCUGUCAGGGUCCCCUCCUGUCCUGAGUGCUCCCACUGCAGCUCAGUCUGCCUAGGAGAGUUCCCAGGGUCCACCAGGACUGUGCACCCACGCUGGUACCCCAGAUGGCCUCUCAUUCCCUUGCUGUGUGACCCCGGGCAAAUGGCUCAGCCUCUCCGGGCUUCCCACUACAAAAAUAAACAAAGA